GACGAACGCUGGCGGCGUGCUUAACACAUGCAAGUCGAACGGAAAGGCCCUGCUUUUGUGGGGUGCUCGAGUGGCGAACGGGUGAGUAACACGUGAGUAACCUGCCCUUGACUUUGGGAUAACUUCAGGAAACUGGGGCUAAUACCGGAUAGGAGCUCCUGCUGCAUGGUGGGGGUUGGAAAGUUUCGGCGGUUGGGGAUGGACUCGCGGCUUAUCAGCUUGUUGGUGGGGUAGUGGCUUACCAAGGCUUUGACGGGUAGCCGGCCUGAGAGGGUGACCGGCCACAUUGGGACUGAGAUAAGGCCCAGACUCCUACGGGAGGCAGCAGUGGGGAAUAUUGCACAAUGGGCGGAAGCCUGAUGCAGCAACGCCGCGUGGGGGAUGACGGCCUUGGGGUUGUAAAGCGCUUUCGCCUGUGACGAGGCGUGAGUGACGGUAAUGGGUAAAGAAGCACCGGCUAACUACGUG
rnacentral:rRNA from 1 species